rnacentral:lncRNA from 10 species
CGGCGACUCUAGACGCCCGCUCACUGGUGGGCUUUGACGUCGAUCAAGUGGGAAGGGGCGGAACACGGAGCUUUCGCCCACUCUGAUUCGGUCUGGCCUGGAGUACGCCACUGUGACGCUCCAGGCCGCGAUUAUGUAAAGCGCAGUCACGCGGGGGCGCCACCUGGAGGGGACAGGCUCCCGGCCGGGACCUCGGAAGAGCUUAGGCUCCGCCCUACUUGCUCAGCGUUCCCGCCCUCGCUCCGCCUCUCCACGGCCUCAGGCGCAUCUGCGCUUCUCGCGAUACCUUCGGGGAUUUGUGAUGUUUUGGUUUCCAUGGAGCUGCCCUCUGGGAGCACGAGGGGUACAAUUGGAACGAAGGCGGCGCACAGUUAACUGGAACUCUGCAGCCGUCCAAGCCCAAAGAAGGUGGGGAGCUUGGGAAAGAAGUUCCUCAUAAUCGGAGCAGGAGGAGCCCGCCCAGCCUCGCUCAAAGGAGGAGACGAGACUCUGAGGGACAAUUUAGAAGUGUGUCCUCAAUUUAAGACACCUAAAUAGGGAACUGUGGGGCUGUGGGCCUUAGGAGAGAAAAGGAGAGCCCCAGAGAGAGCACCCCUAUGCUGCGGAAGAGGGACUAAAGAGAUGGCAGUCCUUCCAGGAGGGAUUGGACAGAUAUUCAGGCGUCCGGUGGCCUGCAGGCCCCCAUCAGAGUGGGCUGCAAUUGGCCCAGACCUGCUUCCUACUUUGUUUUCUCCGGUUUCACCCCCAGCUUCUCUCGCAAGCAACCACCUGGUGAUUCCUGACGAGGCCUGACUUCCGGAAGGCAAGCCACGCCCUCCGGGCUCCCCUGCCUCUCUUUGGCUCCAGCUUGGCAUGUAUAGGAGCUGCCCAAGGAAUGACAGACUUCUUGUUCUUGAGGUGUUGGCAAAGCUUCCUGCACUGCUGACCUAUCCAAGUCCUGCCUUGUAGCUGCUCUUGGGCAUAGGUUACUCUUGGCUCUGCCAACCACCCGUACAGGACUAAUUGCAGUUUUACCUCAACGUGCGCUUUUUACAAUUAAAAACUGACUUAAUGGCUUCUAUUUCCCUGCCUCAACAAAAAAAAUUUACUCUCUCUGAACCCAAAUCUGGCUGCUUCCUUGUAGGAUCCCCCAAAGAUGUGCAUUAAUCAUUAGGAUCAGAAAGCAAAGUUUCCAAAUCACUGUUCCACAACUAACUACAUGACCUUGGAUCUAUCACUGAACUUCUCACGGCCUCGUUUUUCUCAAUUGUACAAUGAGGUCAUUGUGAGAAUCAAAACCAGUACAUGAGUCGGGGCGGGAUGGCUCACAACUGUAAUCCCAGCACUUUGGGAGGCUGAGGCCAGAGGAUCACUUGAGCCUUGGGAUUUAAGACCAGCCUGGGUCGGCCGGACGCGGUGGCUCACGCCUGUAAUCCCAGCACUUUGGGAGGCCGAGGCGGGUGAAUCACCCGAGGAUCACCUGAGGUCAGGAGUUCCAGACCAGCCUGACCAACAAGGUCAAACCCUGUCUCUACUAAAAUACAAAAAUUACCCGGGCGUGGUGGCAGGCGCCUGUAGUCCCAGCUACUCGGGAGGCUGAGACAAGAGAAUUGCUUGAACCUGGGAGGCAGAGGUUGCAGUGAGCCAAGAUCAUGCCACUGAAUUCCAGCCUGGACUACGGGGCAAGACUCCGUCUCAAAAAAAAAAAAAAAAAGACCAGCCUGUGCAACACAGUGGGACCCCAUUUCUACAAAAAAACUUUUUUAAAAAUUAGCCGGGUGUGGUGGCACGAGCCUGUGGUUCCAGCUACUCAGGCGGCUGAGGCGGGAGGAUCCCUUGAGCCUGGACAGUCGAGGCUGCCCUGAGCCAUGAUUAUGCCACUGCACUCCAGCCUAGGUGACAGAGUGAGACCCUGUCUCAAAAUAUAUAUGCAAAUACAAAUAAAAACAGUACGUGGAGGAAAAUGUGGGGAAAUUGUUUAAUGGGUAAGGGGCUUUUGGAGUGAUGAAAAUGUU